rnacentral:rRNA from 1 species
AUUGAACGCUGGCGGCAUGCCUUACACAUGCAAGUCGAACGGUAACGGGCCUUCGGGUGCCGACGAGUGGCGAACGGGUGAGUAAUGUAUCGGAACGUACCAUUGAGUGGGGGAUAACGUAGCGAAAGUUACGCUAAUACCGCAUAUUCUCUCCGGAGGAAAGCAGGGGACCGCAAGGCCUUGCGCUCUUUGAGCGGCCGAUAUCAGAUUAGCUAGUUGGUGGGGUAAAAGCUCACCAAGGCGACGAUCUGCAGCGGGUCUGAGAGGAUGAUCCGCCACACUGGAACUGAGACACGGUCCAGACUCCUACGGGAGGCAGCAGUGGGGAAUUUUGGACAAUGGGGGCAACCCUGAUCCAGCCAUGCCGCGUGAGUGAAGAAGGCCUUCGGGUUGUAAAGCUCUUUCAGCCGGGAAGAAAACGCACUCUCUAAUACAGGGUGUGGAUGACGGUACCGGAAUAAGAAGCACCGGCUAACUACGUGCCAGCCGCCGCCGUAA